GUCUACAGCUAUGCCAUCCUGAACAAGCUAAGCAGGGUCAGGCCUGAUUCGUACUUGGAUGGGAGACCACCAAGGAAUACCAGGUGCUGUAGGCG
rnacentral:rRNA from 1 species